rnacentral:rRNA from 1 species
AUUGAACGCUGGCGGCAGGCCUAACACAUGCAAGUCGAGCGAGCGGCGGACGGGUGAGUAAUGUAUGGGAAUCUGCCUGAUGGCGGGGGAUAACUACUGGAAACGGUAGCUAAUACCGCAUACCAUCAGAUGAACCCAGAUGGGAUUAGCUAGUAGGUGAGGUAACGGCUGACCUAGGCGACGAUCCCUAGCUGGUCUGAGAGGAUGAUCAGCCAAACUGGAACUGAGACACGGCCCAGACUCCUACGGUAGGCAGCAGUGGGGAAUAUUGCACAAUGGGCGCAAGCCUGAUGCAGCCAUGCCGCGUGUAUGAAGAAGGCCUUAGGGUUGUAAAGUACUUUCAGCCGGGAGGCGUUACCGACAGAAGAAGCACCGGCUAACUCCGUGCCAGCAGCCGCGGUAAUAC